AUGGGGGUGGGCCUGUUGUCAUGGGGGAGGUGGUGGCGCUUGGUGGCUCCUGGCGGCCGAGGUAGUGGCAAAGGCGUUGGAGUUGGUCGUGGGCAGCGGCAGAUUUGGGAUUUAAGCAACUUCUUCCAAAGAAGAGUACCAGUGGAGCUGCUGCUGCAGCCCAAGAUCUUGAUCCAUAUCUGUAGACUGGAAUAUUGGUGGGGCAGCAAUCCACAGACACCUCACUUGGAUAGGUAAGUGAAAGAGAUAGUUGAGGGUAAGAAAAGUAUGUUGAGUGUUCUUUCUGUUUUUUACUUGGAUAAAAAAUAGGUGACUACCUUAAAAAAUUAAAUCCUUUAUCUUGGUAAAAACAAAACAUUUGUAAUCUUGAAUGGGGCAA
rnacentral:lncRNA from 1 species